UUUGACUCAAAUCGGCGGGCCGGCCAUUGCUCCCGCAUCGGUGAAAGAGAAAGAAGGAUCUCCUUGAAAUAGGUUUGGGUACGUCUCUGCAAAGGCGAUCCUGCUGUCGAAGAGGUCCCACACCCGCUCCCCCCACCUGCACCUCCCACCACCGCCGCCGGAGGAGAAGAGGAGGGACGGGCCGAAGCCACAGCCUCUUUGAGUUGAACCAGCGCACUCUCUCCCAGUGGUUCUCCCGGAGGCAGAAGGCGUGGAAGAGAGCUGUGCUUCAGCAGGACGUGGUGGGUACCCGCAUCCCUGACAGCGUGAGGAGAAGUACAUCUGCCUAAAGUGCGGACAGCCGAAACAGCGGCAAUUUGGCCAUAGCCGUUUGGCCAACAUCGCGUUCUGAUCCACUGCUGCCGGCAAAUCGGUGCAGGAGUGGUUGACAGAGAUGAAGGACACUCAUGGACGCUGAUCCACUGGCUGGGUGGAGGACGCUUUUAUUGUAUAUAGUUCUGUGAUCUGCCCUCUACUUGGACCGGUACCUUGGCGAGGUGUAGAGGCUUGCGUGUGCUGAAGACCCUCAGAGCUACAUUGCCUGCAGUCCUUGGACUGCUGGUCUGAGGUGAAGCACCAGACAAAAGCCGGUCCUGCAAUGGGAACACUGAAAUGUCAAAAGUGUGCCCUUGGCUGCAUUUGUAAUGGACACUUUUUUAUAUGGACACAGUAAUGCUCCCAGUGGUGUGCAUCAAUGUUUCCCAUUUUGUAUAGUGCUGUUACUUUAUGUCUAAAGUUCAGCAUAAUUAAGUAUGUAUGUUUUUUAAACACAAUU